CCCAAUUCGAUAGAACAAUAUUUAAGUAUAAUUGAAAUGCCAGAAUGGAACUUUUUCACCAGUUACAACGCAACGAACAUAACAGUCACAACUAUUGAAGACAAUGAUCAUUUUAAAUCAAUAAUUUACGCUGAUUUAGGAUUUUUACGAUCCUUAAAUAAUGUGACUGAACUUUUUAUGGAUGCUACAUUUAAAGUGAUUCUGAGAAAACCUGCAUUUCGUCAAUUGUUCACGAUUUUAGGAUUUGUCCAAGAUUCUGUUAUACCGCUUUGUUGGGUUUUAAUGCAAAAAAAAGAUACAUCAGCUUAUGAAUCAGUUCUUACGUACUUCUCCUUAAUUUUGGCACCUCAUUUGCGUCCAUUAGCAAUCAACACUGAUUUUUAAAGUGCUCUAGGUAUCGCUAUUCUAAGGAAUUAUCCAGAGGUUACUCAUACUCGAUGUUAUUUUCAUUAUUGUCAGGCGAUAAUGAAAAGAAUAAAGAAGUUGCGUCUUCUGAAUGCAAUAAAUGAAAGCAAUGAAAAUCGAUUGUUUUUACAAAAAUUAUUAGUACUACCUCUACUUCCUCCUGAUGAUAUUGAAUUGGCAUUUUACUGGAUUCUCAGUACUACUGCACCAGUACUAUUAUUGCAGUUUAAGAAGCUAUUGAAGUAUUUUUAUAACCAGUGGAUAAGAAGAACAAGGCCAGAUGUAUAUUCUGUUUUUCUUAGAGUUUUUAGAACAAAUAACUUCUCCGAGGCUUAUAAUAAAGUAUUGGCUCUACAGUUUGGAACUCAUCCAAAUAUUUGGGAUUUUACAGAAAAAAUUGUUCUUUUACAAGAAUUAAAGCGUAUCGAGUAUGAAUCAUUACAAAACGGCAAUCGAAUAACGGAGCAAUCUCGAAGUCGUGAAACCUUAAAAAAUGAAAUUAUCCAUAGCGCUUGAGUUUUAUACCAAAACAACCAAUUUGGUAUUCCGCAAUUUAUUAACUGUGUGAGCUACUUCAUCAAUGAACUUAAAAGUGGAAGAGAUGUUGAUGUUCAACAAAUUCAUAAUUUCAUCGCUGAAAAUCCAAUUGAAAUUGAACUCGUUGUUGGUGAACAUAUCACAGACUGUACGAUGUGUUAACUAAGAAUGACGAAUCAUAUUUUUCAGCCAUGCAACCAUUGGUUUGGAUGCUUUCGGUGUGUGCAAAACAUGCGAGUCUUUCUUGCUCGCGUGCAAGCUAAUUUGCGUUGCCCAACUUGCGACAAUGUUAUAGCAUCAUUUGAACAGAUUUUUUGAAUAUUUUCUGACAUUAAUGAUUUAUUUAAAUACA